rnacentral:rRNA from 1 species
UACGUAGGGUGCAAGCGUUGUCCGGAAUUAUUGGGCGUAAAGGGCGCGUAGGCGGCAGACCAAGUCCGGGGUGAAAGCCCCCAGCUCAACUGGGAAGUGCCUUGGAAACUGGAGUGCUCGAGGGAGGUAGGGGUCGAGGGAACUUCUGGUGGAGCGGUGAAAUGCGUUGAUAUCAGAAGGAACGCCGGUGGCGAAAGCGCUCGACUGGACCUCUUCUGACGCUGAGGCGCGAAAGCUAGGGGAGCAAACGGG